rnacentral:tRNA from 1 species
GAGGAUAUAGCUUAGUGGUAGAGUGCGUGUUAGGCAUGCACGAGGUCCAGGGUUCAAUACCCAGAGCCUCU